GACGAACGCUGGCGGCGUGCUUAACACAUGCAAGUCGAACGGAAAGGCCCUGCUUUUGUGGGGUGCUCGAGUGGCGAACGGGUGAGUAACACGUGAGUAACCUGCCCUUGACUUUGGGAUAACUUCAGGAAACUGGGGCUAAUACCGGAUAGGAGCUCCUGCUGCAUGGUGGGGGUUGGAAAGUUUCGGCGGUUGGGGAUGGACUCGCGGCUUAUCAGCUUGUUGGUGGGGUAGUGGCUUACCAAGGCUUUGACGGGUAGCCGGCCUGAGAGGGUGACCGGCCACAUUGGGACUGAGAUACGGCCCAGACUCCUACGGGAGGCAGCAGUGGGGAAUAUUGCACAAUGAGCGGAAGCCUGAUGCAGCAACGCCGCGUGCGGGAUGACGGCCUUAGGGUUGUAAACCGCUUUCGCCUGUGACGAAGCGUGAGUGACGGUAAUGGGUAAAGAAGCACCGGCUAACUACGUG
rnacentral:rRNA from 1 species